rnacentral:lncRNA from 1 species
CCUUCUAUACAGUGUUCGAAUAUUCUAGACAGAAAGUGCAUCGUCUAAGUGACGGAAAGAGCUGGAAUUGAGCAACGUCUCUGGCAGGAAACACUCGGACGCUGUGCGGGAGGGCAGCGGGGCUGGAGUGUGCGUUCCGUCACCGACCUGCGCCCCAUCCAGGGCCCUGCAGGACUCGCAGACCCCGAGGAGGCUGCUGUGGUGAUGGUGGGUCAGACGAGACUGGGUUACUUUUCUCACCAGUUUCUCAAUGAAAGCGUCCUUGGAAUCGUGCACCUGAAAACAGCCUUUUCACGGCUCUGACGGUCACUGUCCUCUGGAGUCGACUCCCCCUGGUUCGCUGGCUCCGGCCAGGCUGGGGGGACAGAGGGGCCACAGCCGGAUGCCAGUGUCUCCCUGACUGCCAGGCGGCUGUGGGGUCAUGGACGCGGCCCCCCGUCCCCCGGUGCUCGCCAUGUCAAACUGAAGCCCUCUGACUCUUUCCAGGACGGGCAGGGCCACUCGGGGCCACUCGCCAUCCCGGCCGUGUCUGAGCCAGGAGGGGUCACGUCGGCACCUGCUGGUGACCCAAGGCCGCGCCCCGGGAGGGGACGGGCCAGAUGCACGGGAAGUUCAGCACCGAAGGUCGGAACUUCCUGUGCAGAGACGGGCGUGAGCCUGACGCCCGUGAAGGCGCCAGGUGUGGGCGGAGUGUCGCCGACGUGGCCAGAGUGUGCUGGCCGCAGGGCUCCCGUCCUCCCAGGGCCACUCACGACAGAGGACACGGCCCCGCAGACCGGCCGCCGGCGCCCAGAGCCGAGGGUCACCUGGAGGAAGGAACGGGCGGGAGGCCUCGGGCCGCUGGCUCCCGGGAGGGCCUCACUUUGGAAGCGCGAACGUGUCGCUGGCCCUGAGGACGGCUGGUCUAAAGGACAGCUCGAAGGACCUCUGGUCGCUGAAGCUCUGGGCUCUGUACUUGGCCAGGUGCGCGCCCCUGCCGCCGCGCCCGCGUCCCUGUGUGUCCGGGGGCCCCCCCGGGGCGGGGGCGCGGG